ensembl:lncRNA
GGAUUUUCCUACAUCGAAGACAAAGGAGUCCAAAAGCACGCAUCUGAAUAAACUUUUCGAGCGGUUUAGCGACUACUUUCCCGAUAAACAACCCGAGGACGACUGGGUGCGCGACCCGUUUGGAAUAAACAUGGAAAGCAUCACGUUGCCUAGCAGCGAUUAAUGUCAGCUGGUGGAGCUAUCAUGUGACCGCACUCUCAGAAAGAAAUUCACAGAGGUUUCCCAGAGACUAUGGGUUGAGGAGGAAUUGGAAAUUUGUCGGCUUAGACCUGGUGUCAUUCCAUCAGUGUUAAACUUCUCGGCUCAUCUUGGAAGAGUACGUGCCAGAAAGACCACGACCAAGCAGCCUUGAGAUCUUAGACAGCGUCUCCCUCAGUCCAGCUUCAGCUCCAGAGACGGCAGGUGGGACGAGUCAACGGAGGCCGGGUGGAUGAAGGCAUGCAGCUGAGUACAAUCCAGAAAACAACAGAGGAGGAGUGCAGCAGCCCAGGGCCAGAACAAACAGAGUAGCAUCGUAUGUCUCUUAGAAAACAUCAUAGUGUAGCCUUUGGUAUGAAAAAAUGACAUCAUAUACAUCGUAUUUUGUAGAAAUAACAAGUCAAAGGAAAGAGACAUCCACUGUAGAAUUGUAGUAAUUGU